AUGCCGGCCAGCGCGGCUGCGGCCGCCGCGGAAGGCGAGGAGAAGGCGGCGGAGGCGGGGGGCAGGGAGCUGCUGUACUGCGGCACGGUGCGCUUCGACAUCAUGGGCCGGACGGUGAAGGGCGGGGUGCAGGGCAGAGGCAACCUGGUGUCCCCGACGCGGCUGCGCCCUCUCGUGGGCGUGGACAUCCGCUUCGUCGCCUCCGGCUGCGCGGCUUGCCACUGUGUUGCUCUGAGUUCUGACGGCCGUUGCUUCUCAUGGGGUCGAAAUGAGCAGAAGGGGCAGCUGGGGCAUGGGGACACUCUCUUGCGUAACCUGCCAACUGUUGUUUCUAAACUAUCAAAAUACAACAUAAUCGCAGCAGGUGUUGGAAGAAAUCAUACGGUGGUCGUAACUGACGAUGGGAGGUCCUUUGCAUUUGGUGACAACAGACAUGGCCAGUUGGGGAUGGGUUCACUAAGGAGUGGAACUAGGGUGUCGCCAGUCCCCUGCCUCGUUACUAAAGCAACUAAUGCUGUUUGUGGUGCCGACUUUACUGUCUGGCUAUCAUCAGUUGAGGGCUCUUCCAUACUCACAGCAGGUCUUCCCCAGUACGGCCAACUUGGCCAUGGAAGCGACAAUGAGUAUAAUGCCAAUGCAUCAUCGGUAAGGCUAACAUAUGAUCCCCAGCCCCACCCCAGGGCAAUAGCUGCAUUAUCUGGGAAGACCGUUGUCAAAGUUGCAUGUGGAACAAAUCAUACAGUUGCAGUUGAUUCAAGUGGCUUUGUUUACACCUGGGGUUUUGGUGGAUAUGGAAGGUUGGGUCAUAAUGAACAGAAAGAUGAGUGGCAACCACGCCUCGUUGAAAUAUUUCAAAAGAACAAUAUGCUAUCUCCCAGUGAUAUUAUCUCAGCUGGUUCUGCAAGUUCUGCGUGCACUGCCGGUGGUCGUGGGCAGCUGUAUGUGUGGGGAAAGUUGAAGAACUGGGGCGAUGAGUGCAUGUAUCCUAAGCCAGUUAGAGAUUUAAGCGGUUGGAACAUCCGCUGCAUGGCUUCUGGCGACAUGCACCAUAUUGUUGGUGCAGAGGAUUCUUGCAUAAGUUGGGGUCUUUCUGAAUAUGGAGAGCUUGGUUAUGGCCCUACACAAAAGUCAUCUGUAAAUCCUAAAAGGGUUGACAUUCUUGAAGGAAUGCAUGUUACAAGUGUUGGUUGUGGAGUUGGGAUGUCUCUGAUUGUUGUAGACAGGGCAAAUGUUGGUGAUAAGCUUGACCAGCUGGAUAAUUUUGAUGGUGAUAUUGAUGCUCUCUUUCAAGAGAACACGAAAAAGCUCUACUUUCUUCCGCGCCGAGACAGUAAAGAAAAACCAAAACCAAAGACGAGCCAACAUCCCGCAAUCGACGAAACAGCAGAAGAGACACCGGAGCCGGAGCAGGUAACCAAGGCGGCAUCUCCCACCACUAACUCACGGUCCAACAAGCGCAAGAAAGCCUCGGAACACGCAGAACCAGAAGCCGAGGACGGGAUCAGACAGGUACCGAAGGAGGAGGCAGAGUGUGGCAGUCAUGGUCGCGGGCGGGGCAGAGGCAGGGGGGCCAAGACGGCGACUCCGGAGCCAAUGCCGUCAGGAAGGGGCAGAGGCAGAGGCCGCCCCAAGAAGGGAACCAGCAGCCCUGGCGCUGCUACUCCGGAAGCCGGGAGCUCGGGACGAGGUGGGAAGAAGAGCGGGAAGCGAGGGAGGCCUCGCAAGUGA
rnacentral:rRNA from 1 species